rnacentral:rRNA from 1 species
CCCAUCACGUUGGGGAUAACCUUGCGAAAGUUAAGGACUAAUACCCAAUGGAUAUCUCUUAGAAGACAUCUGAAAGAGNUUAAAGAUUUAUCGGUGAUGGAUGGGGAUGCGUCUGAUUAGCUUGUUUGGCGGGGGUUAAACGGCCCACCAAGGCAACGAUCAGUAGGGGUUCUGAGAGGAAGGUCCCCCACAUUGGAACUGAGACACGGUCCAAACUCCUACGGGAGGCAGCAGUGAGGAAUAUUGGUCAAUGGACGAGAGUCUGAACCAGCCAAGUAGCGUGCAGGAUGACGGCCCUAUGGGUUGUAAACUGCUUUUAUAAGGGAAUAAAGUGAGUCUCGUGAGACUUUUUGCAUGUACCUUAUGAAUAAGGACCGGCUAAUUCCGUG